AAACCUUCUGAAGCCCUUUUGACCUCACCUGCUUCACCACGUCAACCUUUUUUGCAUCGCCAAUGCUCCACCCAUUCGCUUUACCACGCCACAGUUGCGCCCACACUUCACAUCUCCCCGCCUCACGUAUUUGUUCAUUGGUGUAAAGCAAAAACCCUCAGCCACGUGCUGGUACUGCUUACAGGCGUCGUCAUGGAUACGGCUCACUUAUUGGCUGAUGGGACGAGCCCAGCUGCUGACGGGGAGCACUGAUUGGCUGGAGGUUCAGGCAGAGCAAAAAGGACUCUCGGAGUACGAGGGUUACACGCAGAAACCGGGUCUGGAUGAUGAGACGGUGGAGCGCCGAAGGAGGCACAGCCAGUUGGUGAGUUACCCAGAAAGGGUCAGCCCGUUAUUGGAGAUCCAGCUGGAAGGGAAAUUUUGACAGCCUAAACGAAACUUACCAGAGGAAAAUGGCAUGGCCCAACUGCUUCAAGCAUCAUCCAUAGCAUCCAUUUUGAAGAUAAUUCAUACAUCGGCCUGUGUUCCCAGUUUGGGAUGAGUACAUUGAAGCACAUGAAAGCCGAUGUGAUCUCCACGAAUAUGAGAUAAUUCUAAUCUAAUGGAAAUCAAGAAAAAGGACAGAACAGCUGUGGAAAAGUGCGAGAAACUGAGGGCUGUCAAAUAGGCCGCAAUUACAGAGCGAGGAUGAUUACAAAGCCCGGGUGCCAGCUUGAAAAAAUGACUCACCAAUUAGCUGCCGAGUGACCACAAAUCAACAUUCGAACCCUGAGAGAAGAAUUACAAGAGUAGCCCUGAUCAGUGGGUGAUGGACUGGCAAUGAGAGGGUGUUUUGGAUGUGCACCCAUCAGCAUUCAUGUGUAACACUGGCAGGUCGCUCCUCAAGGGACAGGACAACAUGGACCGGCCAGAUGAGAGCGGCCCAGGCUGCUAUCAUGUGACAAGUUCUGAUUGCCACGGGCCUUUUAACCCACCUGGCCAGGUCUUGGGCGAAGGCAAAAAAGACCCAAUAAGAGUGGUGUCUUUGUCACAGAUGUGGCAAGGAGAGGAGUCGAUCUUCACAAGAGGUCUCAUUGCCAGCGAUCUAAUUGGGCUCAUGGUGAAGCUUUACAUGUCUUGCAAAUACUGGCA
rnacentral:lncRNA from 1 species